rnacentral:rRNA from 1 species
AGCGAACGCUGGCGGCAGGCUUAACACAUGCAAGUCGAGCGGGCAUCUUCGGAUGUCAGCGGCAGACGGGUGAGUAACACGUGGGAACGUACCCUUCGGUUCGGAACAACUCUGGGAAACUGGAGCUAAUACCGGAUACGCCCUUAUGGGGAAAGGUUUAUUGCCGAAGGAUCGGCCCGCGUCUGAUUAGCUAGUUGGUGGGGUAACGGCCUACCAAGGCGACGAUCAGUAGCUGGUCUGAGAGGAUGAUCAGCCACACUGGGACUGAGACACGGCCCAGACUCCUACGGGAGGCAGCAGUGGGGAAUAUUGGACAAUGGGCGCAAGCCUGAUCCAGCCGUGCCGCGUGAGUGAUGAAGGCCUUAGGGUUGUAAAGCUCUUUUGUCCGGGACGAUAAUGACGGUACCGGAAGAAUAAGCCCCGGCUAACUUCGUG